GAUCAGCAAAGUCUCUUCUAAGUGAUCAACGUGAUCAACGAAGACAAAUGUUCCAGAAAUACCUAGAGGAAAAGCGACUGAAAAAAUUGAGAAACCUCAUCGACGACCAUUUAUAGUGGGUGUUUAUAGACCUGAUAAGCCUAUUUUUCUUUCAUGAAUACCAGCACACCAACCAAAAAAGCUCAUUUGGGCCAUCUGGAUAACAAGCAGUUGGGAAUAAAAAUUUGAAAAUCAGGACGGAGAUCCAUGCUGAGUGGUGGAUUUAGGAUAUGAUAUUGGGAGUAUGGAUGGGGGUUUAAGCUGUAGGGCUAAAUGAGACCACUCCAGUAAAGAUAUAUACAUUGUGAAAGAGUGAGGUCUAGAGAGCACCUUCAAGUGGGCAGAAGUCAGGUACCAGUGAUAGGUCAGAUUGGCAGGAGAGCUAAAACAGGACAGAAGCUGGAGGAGGGGGGUG
rnacentral:lncRNA from 1 species